GCGGACGUGACGUAUUUUCCGGCGAUGGCGGGCGAAGAUGGCGGCCGGUAGCGCUAAGGGCUCAUUUGAAUCCAGGCAGUAAACACAGCGCGCGAGUGUUUGAUAAGGGACCCGGGGCUCAAAACCCGCUCCCGGUGAUUACCAGAUCUUGGCUUCACGGAACGGCCGGUGCUCUGGAAGAAGCAAGGUCUGCCUCUGGAUCCGUGUUCGCGUCUGGGGUGAGAGGGAGACAGCGCCACCAUGGGGCGAAGAUCGACGUCCUCCACCAAGAGUGGGAAAUUCAUGAACCCCACUGACCAGGCUCGGAAGGAGGCCCGGAAGAGGGAGCUGAAAAAGAACAAGAAGCAGAGGAUGAUGGUCCGAGCAGCAGUGCUGAAAAUGAAGGACCCCAGACAGAUCAUCAGAGACAUGGAGAAACUGGAUG